rnacentral:lncRNA from 1 species
UUCUUAUUGAGGUAUUAAAAGCUGCACUGUCAUGCAUUCAUAUAUGUGAACUGGCAGCCAAACUUUGUAACGUGAACGUGAUGAUUUUGGUAUUGAUUUUAAAGAGAAUAGAUUGUUUAAAAUUGGGUUUUGUUUUCCAAAAGUUAUGCAUGUAUUGUAAUAUCGCAAAAGAAACUUAAAAAUUAUGGAUAAAAUUGCUUCCCACAUCCACGUUUUUCUGGUUUCUCGACAUAUUCCAAAUCCUAGUUUGUGCAUUUCUCAUUUUCCACGUUUUUCAGUAUUUUUCGCCAUAUUCCAUGUCCUACCAUGUGAGUUUCUCACUUUACUUGUUUCUAAGUUUUCUCAGCAUAUUCCAGGAAAAAGAGAUAUUAAUGGAUUAAUAUUAAUUCUAUAUAUACAUAUAUACAUAUAUACACACACAUUUUUAAAAAGAGAAUUAGAGUAGAGCUGGGGCAAUUGUGGAACACACCUUUAACCUCAGGCAGAUUUCUGCGUUCAAGGUCACCCUGGCUUACAAGUCAGCUAGGGCUAGAGAAACCAUAUCUCAGAAAAAACGAAAAAAAUAAUAGAAAGACAGAAAGAAAGA